rnacentral:rRNA from 1 species
CACGUAGGGGGCGAGCGUUGUUCGGAAUUACUGGGCGUAAAGGGCAUGUAGGCGGUUUGGUAAGCCUGACGUGAAAGGCUAUGGCUCAACCAUGGCAUGGCGUUGGGAACUGCUAGACUUGAAUCACGGAGAGGGAGCUGGAAUUCCAGGUGUAGGGGUGAAAUCUGUAGAUAUCUGGAAGAACACCAGUGGCGAAGGCGAGCUCCUGGCCGAUGAUUGACGCUGAGGUGCGAAAGUGUGGGGAU